GCUUGCUUCUAUGACGUUAGCGGCGGACGGGUGAGUAACACGUGGGCAACCUGCCUGUAAGACUGGGAUAACUUCGGGAAACCGAAGCUAAUACCGGAUAGGAUCUUCUCCUUCAUGGGAGAUGAUUGAAAGAUGGUUUCGGCUAUCACUUACAGAUGGGCCCGCGGUGCAUUAGCUAGUUGGUGAGGUAACGGCUCACCAAGGCAACGAUGCAUAGCCGACCUGAGAGGGUGAUCGGCCACACUGGGACUGAGACACGGCCCAGACUCCUACGGGAGGCAGCAGUAGGGAAUCUUCCGCAAUGGACGAAAGUCUGACGGAGCAACGCCGCGUGAGUGAUGAAGGCUUUCGGGUCGUAAAACUCUGUUGUUAGGGAAGAACAAGUACGAGAGUAACUGCUCGUACCUUGACGGUACCUAACCAGAAAGCCACGGCUAACUACGUGCCAGCAGCCGCGGUAAUACGUAGGUGGCAAGCGUUAUCCGGAAUUAUUGGGCGUAAAGCGCGCGCAGGCGGUUUCUUAAGUCUGAUGUGAAAGCCCACGGCUCAACCGUGGAGGGUCAUUGGAAACUGGGGAACUUGAGUGCAGAAGAGAAAAGCGGAA
rnacentral:rRNA from 1 species